GCCAGCGCGGUGUAGUGGUUUGAGCGCUGGACUACAUCUCUGGAGACCAGGGUUCAAAACCCUGCUCAGCCA